GACGAACGCUGGCGGCGUGCUUAACACAUGCAAGUCGAACGGAAAGGCCUGCUUUCCCUUGUGGAUUGCGGGUACUCGGGUGGCGAACGGGUGAGUAACACGUGAGUGAUCUGCCCCCAACUUGGGUAUAAGCCUGGGAAACUGGGCCUAAUUCCCGAUAGGACUGCAGGGUGGUGCCUGUGGUGGAAAACGAUUUUCUAGUGGUUGGGGAUGAGCUCGCGGCCUAUCAGCUUGUUGGUGGGGGAAGGGCCUACCAAGGCGGCGACGGGGAGCCGGCCUGGGGGGGGGGACGGCCACUUUGGGACUGAUAUACGGCCCAGCCCCCUCCGGGGGGGCGCAGUGGGGGAUUAUGCACAAUGGGCGGAGCCCGGCUGCCGCGCCGCCGGGGGGGGGAUGACGGCCUUCGGGUUGUACCCCCCUUUCGACCGCGGGAAAACCCCCUGGUUGGAAGGGUGGUGACGGUAGGGGUAGAAAAACCCCCGCCUACCUCCGU
rnacentral:rRNA from 1 species